AGAUUGAACGCUGGCGGCAGGCCUAACACAUGCAAGUCGAGCGGCAGCACGGGUACUUGUACCUGGUGGCGAGCGGCGGACGGGUGAGUAAUGCCUAGGAAUCUGCCUGGUAGUGGGGGAUAACGCUCGGAAACGGACGCUAAUACCGCAUACGUCCUACGGGAGAAAGCAGGGGACCUUCGGGCCUUGCGCUAUCAGAUGAGCCUAGGUCGGAUUAGCUAGUUGGUGAGGUAAUGGCUCACCAAGGCGACGAUCCGUAACUGGUCUGAGAGGAUGAUCAGUCACACUGGAACUGAGACACGGUCCAGACUCCGUACGGGAGGCAGCAGUGGGGAAUAUUGGACAAUGGGCGAAAGCCUGGAUCCAGCCAUGCCGCGUGUGUGAAGAGGUCUUCGGAUUGAAAGCAGUUUAAGUGGAGGAAGGCUAGUUACCUAAGUACGUAUUCUUGUUUCGACGUUACCGAUAGAAUAGCACCGUCUAACU
rnacentral:rRNA from 1 species